UACGUAGGGUGCGAGCGUUAAUCGGAAUUACUGGGCGUAAAGCGUGCGUAGGCGGUUCGUUAAGUUCGUUGUGAAAGCCCCGGGCUCAACCUGGGAAUGGCAAUGGAAACUGGCGGGCUUGAGUAUGGCAGAGGGGGGUGGAAUUCCGCGUGUAGCAGUGAAAUGCGUAGAGAUGCGGAGGAACACCGAUGGCGAAAGCAGCCCCCUGGGCCAAUACUGACGCUCAGGCACGAAAGCGUGGGGAGCAAACAGG
rnacentral:rRNA from 1 species